GUGAGUAACACGUGGGCAAUCUGCCCUGCACUCUGGGACAAGCCCUGGAAACGGGGUCUAAUACCGGAUACUGAACCUCACAGGCAUCUGUGAGGGUCGAAAGCUCCGGCGGUGCAGGAUGAGCCCGCGGCCUAUCAGCUUGUUGGUGAGGUAAUGGCUCACCAAGGCGACGACGGGUAGCCGGCCUGAGAGGGCGACCGGCCACACUGGGACUGAGACACGGCCCAGACUCCUACGGGAGGCAGCAGUGGGGAAUAUUGCACAAUGGGCGAAAGCCUGAUGCAGCGACGCCGCGUGAGGGAUGACGGCCUUCGGGUUGUAAACCUCUUUCAGCAGGGAAGAAGCGAAAGUGACGGUACCUGCAGAAGAAGCGCCGGCUAACUACGUGCCAGCAGCCGCGGUAAUACGUAGGGCGCAAGCGUUGUCCGGAAUUAUUGGGCGUAAAGAGCUCGUAGGCGGCUUGUCACGUCGGUUGUGAAAGCCCGGGGCUUAACCCCGGGUCUGCAGUCGAUACGGGCAGGCUAGAGUUCGGUAGGGGAGAUCGGAAUUCCUGGUGUAGCGGUGAAAUGCGCAGAUAUCAGGAGGAACACCGGUGGCGAAGGCGGAUCUCUGGGCCGAUACUGACGCUGAGGAGCGAAAGCGUGGGGAGCGAACAGGAUUAGAUACCCUGGUAGUCCACGCCGUAAACGGUGGGCACUAGGUGUG
rnacentral:rRNA from 1 species